rnacentral:tRNA from 1 species
GCCUGGGUGUUGAAAUGGUAGACAAUGCAGUCUUAGAAGCUGCUGGGAGUAAUCCCGUGGAGGUUCAAGUCCUCUCCCAGGCA